AUUGAACGCUGGCGGCAUGCCUUACACAUGCAAGUCGAACGGCAGCGCGGGCUUCGGCCUGGCGGCGAGUGGCGAACGGGUGAGUAAUACAUCGGAACGUGCCCUGUCGUGGGGGAUAACUAGUCGAAAGAUUAGCUAAUACCGCAUACGACCUGAGGGUGAAAGCGGGGGACCGUAAGGCCUCGCGCGAUAGGAGCGGCCGGUGUCUGAUUGGCUAGUUGGUGGGGUAACGGCCUACCAAGGCGACGAUCAUUAGCUGGUCUGAGAGGACGUUCAGCCACGCUGGGACGGAGACACGGCCCAGACUCCUACGGGAGGCAGCAGGGGGGAAUUUUGGACAAUGGGGGCAACCCUGAUCCAGCAAUGCCGCGUGUGGGAAGAAGGCCUUCGGGUUGUAAAGCACUUUUGUCCGGAAAGAAAUCCUCUGGGUUAAUACCUCGGGGGGAUGACGGUACCGGAAGAAUAAGCACCGGCUAACUACGUGCCAGCCGCCGCCGUAACAC
rnacentral:rRNA from 1 species